GAUGAAGAACGUAGCGAAAUGCGAUAAUUAAUGUGAAUUGCAGAAUUUAGUGAAUCAUCGAAUCUUUGAACGCACAUUGCGCCCCUUGGUAUUCCGAGGGGCAUGCCUGUUCGAGCGUCAUAUUAACCACUCCCGCUUGCGGGGUCUUGGGCUUCGCCUCCGGGCGGGCCUUAAAAUCAGUGGCGGUGCCGUCGGGCUCUACGCGUAGUAAAUUUUCUCGCGAUAGGGUCCCGGUGGAUGCUUGCCAACAACCCCCAACUUCUUAAGGUUGACCUCGGAUCAGGUAGGGAUACCCGCUGAACUUAAGCAUAUCAAUAAGCGGAGGA
rnacentral:misc_RNA from 1 species